AGAGUUUGAUUAUGGCUCAGGACGAACGCUGGCGGCGCGCCUAACACAUGCAAGUCGAACGAGCGAGAGAGAGCUUGCUUUCUCGAGCGAGUGGCGAACGGGUGAGUAACGCGUGGGUAACCUGCCUUGUACAGGGGGAUAACAGUUGGAAACGGCUGCUAAUACCGCAUAAGCGCACAGCAUCGCAUGAUGCAGUGUGAAAAACUCCGGUGGUAUAAGAUGGACCCGCGUUGGAUUAGCUAGUUGGUGAGGUAACGGCCCACCAAGGCGACGAUCCAUAGCCGACCUGAGAGGGUGACCGGCCACAUUGGGACUGAGACACGGCCCAA
rnacentral:rRNA from 1 species